GAAAUGUGAGGUUAAUUAAUCUGGAUCUUUCUCGAUCUGAUUAUUGUUUAGGUAUUUUCAGAACGAAUCUACUUUCUAGGUGACCUAAUUAGGGUUUAUUUUCAGCCAGAGUACUUGUUUUGCUCGACCCGACUUGAAUGUAAAUGGGGUUUUAUUUGUAAAGCUGAAGCUGAAUUGAACAGGGAUUUUCUAAAAAAAUUGGAUUUUGAUGAGAUGGGGUUUUCUUGAAAAGGGGUUUUAUUUAGUUUCUGAAGCUGAAUUGGGUAGAAAUUUUGUAAAAUGUUUGGAUUUUUAUGAGAUGGGGUUGUUGAAGAUGAGCUUUUUGCAGUGAAGAGUAAGUUUGGGUAUAAGCAGAGUAUAAAUUUAAAGGAAUAUGGCAACUCCAGUUGAGCCACCAAAUGGGAUAAGGUCCCCAGGGAAACAUUACUAUUCUAUGUGGCAAUCCCUUUUUGAAAUUGAUACUAAAUAUGUACCUAUUAAGCCUAUUGGGCGAGGGGCAUAUGGAAUUGUUUGUUCUUCUGUUAACAGGGAAUCCAAUGAGAAGGUUGCAAUCAAGAAAAUAAACAAUGCUUUUGAGAAUCGUGUUGAUGCUCUCAGGACAUUGCGUGAACUAAAGCUCCUUCGCCAUCUAAGACAUGAAAAUGUGAUUGCUCUGAAAGAUGUUAUGAUGCCAAUCCAUAGGCGAAGUUUCAAAGAUGUUUAUCUGGUAUAUGAACUAAUGGAUACAGAUUUACAUCAAAUAGUCAAAUCCUCUCAAACACUCACGAAUGAUCAUUGCCAGUAUUUCCUAUUCCAGUUGCUUCGAGGUCUAAAGUAUCUCCAUUCGGCGAAUAUUCUUCAUCGUGACUUGAAGCCCGGGAACCUGCUCAUCAACGCUAACUGUGAUCUGAAAAUAUGUGAUUUCGGGCUUGCACGUACAAGCAGUGGCAAGGACCAGUUUAUGACUGAGUAUGUUGUUACACGCUGGUACAGGGCGCCGGAACUUCUCCUUUGCUGUGACAACUACGGAACAUCCAUUGAUGUAUGGUCUGUUGGUUGCAUUUUUGCGGAGCUCUUAGGGAGGAAACCUGUCUUUCCAGGUACGGAAUGCCUGAACCAACUGAAAUUGAUUAUCAACAUCCUUGGUAGCCAAAGGGAAGAAGAUUUAGAAUUUAUCGACAAUCCAAAGGCAAGGAAGUACAUCAAAUCACUUCCAUAUUCUCCUGGAACACCAUUUUCCCGCCUCUAUCCCCAAGCUCAUCCAUUGGCGAUUGAUCUCCUGCAGAGGAUGCUUGUGUUUGACCCUUCCAAAAGAAUUAGUGUUAUGGAAGCACUUCAACACCCAUACAUGUCUCCUUUGUAUGAUCCGAACACUGAUCCCCCAGCGCAGGUUCCUAUCAACCUUGACAUAGACGAGGACUUGGGAGAAGAGACGAUAAGGGACAUGAUGUGGACGGAAAUACUUCAUUACCAUCCUGAAGCUGCCACAGCUGCUAUGGAAGAAGUUAUGUGAGCUUUAUGUUAGAGCUUUUUGUAACUUAUCUUUUUCCCCUGCUUUCAAUAAAUAUCGAGUCUUGAUUCAUCGACAGUUUGAGCUGCGAUGCAUAAAAAGAACUGCUCAACUACAUAAGCUUGAACUUUUUGAGCAUGUACUUCUUCUUAAUCUGUAUAUAGGUGUGGUUUUGUACGUCUAAUUAAGGACCUUUACU
rnacentral:misc_RNA from 1 species